UUGUUGGCGUUCCCACAUAAGUGGGUACAACUGAGUUUGAUAAUGGCUCGAGACGGGAUAAAAUGGUAUUAUGUAAGUUGCAUUUACAGAGUGAACAAUGAAAUUCGAUUCCGGCAAUAUAUCGUUUGCUAAAAGGGUGUACCAGAAAGAUCGGAUAGACCCCCUAAACUUGUACUUUAAAUGUGUUAUUCCUGCGAUUACAUCUUGUAUAAAAUUCGUUUGAUUGUAUUUACAACUGUACAGUGCAAUGUGGCAGUUCUUUUAUAAUUCUGACGUGGGAGAUAAGAUUGGAGAAAAGACCCGGAUUAGUACCCGGUUAUUCCAAAUUAAUAAGUUUUCAGGAGUAAAGUAAUAUUUAAACUGGAAGUAUAUUGGGAGUACCCUAAAUUAUCCUUGGAGCUUGAGUAGUAAUCGAGAUCCCUCGUUAUCAGCUUAAACUAUGGUCGCAUGUAUGUUCGUCAAAGGUGCUCGUUAAAGGUGUUGCCGCAAGAGAUGGGUUUUCUAGUAGGACAGAUAAAUACCUGGUAUAUGUUUGAGUGUGUAAUUUGAGCUACAGUGCUGGAGGGCGAGUUGGUUCGGAUUAUCCGGAGAGAUUUGGAUAUGAAGAUGUAAAGGACAGUAAAGCGCUGUUUAAUGGGUGCUUGAAGAAUACCUAGGGUAGGUACAAAUCAUCCAUCAAUUGCCCACAGGGGAGUAAGUUGUAGUAAAGUAGGUGUAGGGGAAUCUGUACCUAGUAGG
rnacentral:ncRNA from 1 species